rnacentral:rRNA from 1 species
GAACCUGCAAGGCAAGCGGAUCUCUUAAAGCCGUUCUCAGUUCGGACUGUAGGCUGCAACUCGCCUACACGAAGCUGGAAUCGCUAGUAAUCGCGGAUCAGCACGCCGCGGUGAAUACGUUCCCGGGCCUUGUACACACCGCCCGUCACACCAUGAGAGUCUGUAACACCCAAAGCCGGUGGGAUAACCUUUAUAGGAGUCAGCCGUCUAAGGUAGGACAGAUGAUUAGGGUGAAGUCGUAACAAGGUAGC